rnacentral:rRNA from 1 species
GAUGAACGCUGGCGGCGUGCCUAAUACAUGCAAGUCUAGCGAAAAGACGAGGAUCUUGCUCCUCUGACGUUAGCGGCGGACAGUAGAGUAACACGUGGAUAACCUACCUAUAAGACUGGGAUAACUUCGGGAAACCGGAGAUAAUACCAGAUAAUAUAUUGAACCGCAUGGUCUGAUAGUGAAAGACGGUGUUGCUGUGACUUAUAGAUGGAUACGCGCCGCAUUAGCUAGUUGGUAAGGUAACGGCUUACCAAGGCAACGAUGAGGAGCCGACAUGAGAGUGUGAUGGGCCCGGCUGGAAAUGGUAGACGGCCAAGACUGCUAUGGGAGGCAGCAGUAGCGAAUCUUGCGGAAUGGGGGGAAGAAUGACGGACAAACGGCGCGUGAGUGAUGCAGGUCUUCGGUUCGUAAAAUGAUGGUAUUAGGGAAGAACAAAUGUGUAAGUAACUAAGCACGAAUUGACGGUACCUGAUCAGAAAGCCACGGCUAACUACGUG